UACGUAGGGUGCAAGCGUUAAUCGGAAUUACUGGGCGUAAAGCGUGCGCAGGCGGUUCUAUAAGACAGAUGUGAAAUCCCCGGGCUCAACCCUGGGAACUGCAUUUGUGACUGUAGAGCUGGAGUGCGGCAGAGGGGGAUGGAAUUCCGCGUGUAGCAGUGAAAUGCGUAGAUAUGCGGAGGAACACCGAUGGCGAAGGCAAUCCCCUGGGCCUGCACUGACGCUCAUGCACGAAAGCGUGGGGAGCAAACAGG
rnacentral:rRNA from 1 species